rnacentral:sRNA from 1 species
GCCAGGCACAGUGGUGCACUCCUGUAAUCCCAGCUACUGGGGAGGCUGAAACAGGAGGAUCACAAGUUUUAGGCCAGCCUCUGCAAUUUAGUGAGAUCCUGUCUCAA